rnacentral:tRNA from 1 species
GGGGAUUUAGCUCAGCGGCAAGAGCGCCUGCCUGGCAAGCGUGAGGUCAUGAGUUCAAUCCCCC